AAAACGACUCUCGGCAACGGAUAUCUCGGCUCACGCAUCGAURAAGAACGUAGCAAAAUGCGAUACUUGGUGUGAAUUGCAGAAUCCCGUGAACCAUCGAGUUUUUGAACGCAAGUUGCGCCCGAUGCCAUCUGGUUGAGGGCACGUCUGCCUGGGCGUCACGC
rnacentral:rRNA from 1 species